UAAUAGCAGCGUUUUCAUCAUUCACUCAAUUCCAUCAAAUUUUAAUGGUUUUAAGAGCAACAAUUUCAUCAUUCCCACAAUUCAAUCAAUUUUCACGGGUUUAACAGUAACAUUUUCAUCAUUCCCACAAUUCACUCAAAUUUCAUUGGUUUAACAACAACGUUUUCAUCAUUCCCACAAUUCAAUCAAAUUCCAUGGGUUUAAUAGCAGCGUUUUCAUCAUUCACUCAAUUCAAUCAAAUUUUAAUGGUUUUCAGAGCAACAAUUU
rnacentral:lncRNA from 1 species